rnacentral:misc_RNA from 1 species
UUGCUGCUGUUGUUAUUUUAUGGCAAUUUGGAGCUGUGUAAGUUGAUGUGUAUGUGAAUAUGAGUAGGACGGGUAGACGCGACUGGAGCUUGACUCGCUGGGACCCGAUCCUUAUUAUGGAAAAGUCGGGGUAGGUACGGUUUUGAGUUGAUCUCGCUAGCCACGGCAUUUGAAUAUUAAGAGAAAGUCCAGUUUUGAGUUGAUCUCGCUAGCAGAGAUUGAAACUAAAAGAGCUAGAUAGGGAGAUCGGCUCCCCAUAUAUAUAUGUGUGAGUGCUCCAGAUUGCCUUUG